CGGUAAUUCCAGCUCCAAUAGCGUAUACUAAAGUUGUUGCAGUUAAAAAGCUCGUAGUUGGAUUUCUGCGGGGACGGAGCGGCCGGACGCAACUUGCGUCUCGAGCUAGCGCUUUCCCCGCAUCCUGCCGCGAACCGUGCUACCAUUAGCUUGGUGGCGCUGGGGAUCGGCUCGAUUACUUUGAGAAAAAUAGAGUGUUCAAAGCAGGCCACACGCCUUGAAUAAGUUAGCAUGGAAUAAUGACUAAGGACUUCGGUUCUAUUUUGUUGGUGUUCGGGACUGAAGUAAUGAUUGAUAGGGACAGUUGGGGCGGUCUGUAUUCCAAAGCGAGAGGUGAAAUUCUUAGACCUUCGGAAGACAAACAGCUGCGAAAGCGUUCCGCAAGGAUGUUCCCUUUGAUCAAGAACGAAAGUUGGGGGAUCGAAGACGAUCAGAUACCGUCGUAGUCUCAACUAUAAACUAUACCAGCUAGGGAUCGGUCAACGUUUAAUCAUUCGACUUGAUCGGCACCUUAUGAGAAAUCAAAGCAUCUGGGUUCCGGGGGGAGUAUGGUCGCAAGGCUGAAACUUAAAGGAAUUGACGGAAGGGCACCACCAGCCGUGGAGCCUGUGGCUUAAUUUGACUCAACACGGGAAAACCUACCAGGUCCAGACAUAGUAAGGAUUGACAGAUUGAUAGCUCUUUCUUGAUUCUGUGGGUGGUGGUGCAUGGCCGUUCUUAGUUGGUGGAGUGAUUUGUCUGGUUAAUUCCGUUAACGAACGAGACCCCAGCCUGCUAAAUAGCGCGGCUGAGCUUUGCUCGGUGCGAGCUUCUUAGAGGGACUAUGAUGCGCGAUAGCACAUGGAAGUUUGGGGCAAUAACAGGUCUGUGAUGCCCUUAGAUGUUCUGGGCCGCACACGGGCUACACUGGCGCCUGCAACGAGCAUAUCAGCUGGCCCGAGAGGGUCUUGGCUAAUCUUUUGAACCGGCGCCGUGCUUGGGAUUGACCAUUGCAAUUGUUGGUCAUGCAACGAGGAAUGCCUUGUAAACGCGAGUCAUCAGCUCGCAUUGAAUACGUCCCUGCCCUUUGUACACACCGCCCGUCGCUCCUACCGAUGAAUGUUCCGAUGAAAUUUUCGGAGAGCGCCAGAGAACGGGGCUCCGCCUUGCAGAUCUGGAGGCUCAAAGUCACCUAAAUCUGAACAUUUCGAGGAAGGAGAAGUCGUAACAAGGUAGCCG
rnacentral:rRNA from 1 species